rnacentral:rRNA from 1 species
ACGAGGCACUACGGUGCUGAAGUAACAAAUGCCCUGCUUCCAGGAAAAGCCUCUAAGCAUCAGGUAACACGAAAUCGUACCCCAAACCGACACAGGUGGUCAGGUAGAGAAUACCAAGGCGCUUGAGAGAACUCGGGUGAAGGAACUAGGCAAAAUGGUGCCGUAACUUCGGGAGAAGGCACGCUGAUAUGUAGGUGAAGUGAUUUACUCAUGGAGCUGAAAUCAGUCGAAGAUACCAGCUGGCUGCAACUGUUUAUUAAAAACACAGCACUGUGCAAACACGAAAGUGGACGUAUACGGUGUGACGCCUGCCCGGUGCCGGAAGGUUAAUUGAUGGGGUUAUCCGUAAGGAGAAGCUCUUGAUCGAAGCCCCGGUAAACGGCGGCCGUAACUAUAACGGUCCUAAGGUAGCGAAAUUCCUUGUCGGGUAAGUUCCGACCUGCACGAAUGGCGUAAUGAUGGCCAGGCUGUCUCCACCCGAGACUCAGUGAAAUUGAACUCGCUGUGAAGAUGCAGUGUACCCGCGGCAAGACGGAAAGACCCCGUGAACCUUUACUAUAGCUUGACACUGAACACUGGUCCUUGAUGUGUAGGAUAGGUGGGAGGCUUUGAAGUGUGGACGCCAGUCUGCAUGGAGCCAUCCUUGAAAUACCACCCUUUAAUGGCUGGUGUUCUAACGUGGACCCGUUACCCGGGUUGCGGACAGUGUCUGGUGGGUAGUUUGACUGGGGCGGUCUCCUCCUAAAGAGUAACGGAGGAGCACGAAGGUUAGCUAAUCCUGGUCGGACAUCAGGAGGUUAGUGCAAAGGCAUAAGCUAGCUUGACUGCGAGAGUGACGGCUCGAGCAGGUGCGAAAGCAGGUCUUAGUGAUCCGGUGGUUCUGAAUGGAAGGGCCAUCGCUCAACGGAUAAAAGGUACUCCGGGGAUAACAGGCUGAUACCGCCCAAGAGUUCAUAUCGACGGCGGUGUUUGGCACCUCGAUGUCGGCUCAUCACAUCCUGGGGCUGAAGUAGGUCCCAAGGGUAUGGCUGUUCGCCAUUUAAAGUGGUACGCGAGCUGGGUUUAGAACGUCGUGAGACAGUUCGGUCCCUAUCUGCCGUGGGCGCUGGAGAAUUGAGGGGGGCUGCUCCUAGUACGAGAGGACCGGAGUGGACGCAUCACUGGUGUUCGGGUUGUCAUGCCAAUGGCAUUGCCCGGUAGCUAAAUGCGGAAGAGAUAAGUGCUGAAAGCA